rnacentral:lncRNA from 1 species
UAUUGGCUUCGCAUAUUGCGUCUCCAUCUUCCUCUUCUUCCCAACUGAUCGGAUCACCUUCAAAUUCUCAAAACGAGAUUGCUGAUGCAGAACAAGAGAAACAAGCUGUGGACGACCGGGAAUGGGGUGCGAUUUUAAGGAAUCCUAGACGAUCAUGCUCUUCAGCUUGACCAUGUUAAUUUUCUGGAGUUUUGCUGUUUUACCAGGGUAGGGCCGACUACUCACACCAGGUGGGUCCCAUGCGGGACCAACCUGUAUAAAAAAAUACCCAAAAAAUACUCAACCGCCCCCGUCGUGAGUAGUCGAUAGGAACCCCUACCCUGACACCCCCAACAAGACUCAAUUUUCUGUUGUUUUGUGGCUUUGUAAACAAUCCCCACGUCGAAUACUAUUCGUUUUGGUUGUCCUGCAUGAACUAGGUUUAUAUUUGUUUUCAACUUUUCGAUUUUACAGUCUGAUUGAGUCGAUAGGCCAGGACUUUCUACUGAGUUUCGUAGAAACUGAUCACAUC